UACGUAGGGGGCAAGCGUUGUCCGGAUUUAUUGGGCGUAAAGAGCGUGUAGGCGGCCAUACAGGUCCGUUGUGAAAACUGGAGGCUUAACCUCCAGACGUCGAUGGAAACCGUAUGGCUAGAGUCCGGAAGAGGAGAGUGGAAUUCCUGGUGUAGCGGUGAAAUGCGCAGAUAUCGUAAGGAAGACCAGUGGCGAAGGCGAAUCUCUGGACAGUUACUGACACUGAGGCUCGAAGGCCAGGGGAGCAAACGGG
rnacentral:rRNA from 1 species